rnacentral:rRNA from 1 species
CCCUUAGAUGUUCUGGGCCGCACGCGCGCUACAAUGAUGAAUUCAACGAGUUUAUAACCUUGGUUGAAAAGCCUGGGUAAUCUUUUGAACUUUCGUCGUGAUGGGGCUAGACCCUUGCAAUUAUUGGUCUCCAACGAGGAAUUCCUAGUAAACGCAAGUCAUCAGCUUGCAUUGAUUACGUCCCUGCCCUUUGUACACACCGCCCGUCGCACCUACCGAUUGAAUGGUCCGGUGAAACCUUCGGAUUGAGACUUUGAUUUCUUCACGGAAAACGCUGUUUUAAAAAGUUGAUUAAACCUUACCAUUUAGAGGAAGGUGAAGUCGUAACA